GAAAGGAUUGCAGACUUGAAAGAUGUUGGAAUACGAUGCUGAUAUGUUUGCGUUCACCUGUCGAUUUCCAUAGCAGAAGGCAUUAAUUUGCUGCGCUUACAAGCCAAAACCAUGAAAUCAUUCAUGAACACGUCGUAAAUCCCUUCGCUGACAUCAUACAGUAGAGAUUUUGCUGAAAGCAGUUCAUUGCAGGGGAGGAUUGAGCUCAAGCUGCUAUUAUAAGGAUCCUUUUGGAAAUCUUCAAGAGCUGUGCAGUGAAAGUGCAUGCGAAGAAAUGUCCAGAAGGGCGGAGAGCUGAAAUACUUACAUUGCCAAGACUGCAAAGAAUGCUGCCAAAACUGCAUGCCAGAGGGAUUCGGAGACAUUUACUGCUUGAAGCAAACUCCUACCUGCAGCGAAGGAACCAGAAUUUUAAUUCAGUGGAGGCAAGUAUAUCAAUUACAAAAAAAAUUGCGAAACCAUGAGGAAGUAGUAGAAGUUAUUGAAGUUAGUUAUUCAAACUUUAUUUAUGAAGUUAUUUUUAUUUUUUGUAUUUUUUUUAAAUUCUGUGACGACUGCUACCACUUGUCCCUAAGUUUCUUUAAACUCACAAA